rnacentral:rRNA from 1 species
UACGUAGGGGCCUAGCGUUGUCCGGAUUUAUUGGGCGUAAAGGGUGCGUAGGCGGCGCGGUAAGUCGUGUGUGAAAUCUCGGAGCCUAACUCCGAAACUGCAUUCGAUACUGCCGUGCUUGAGGACUGGAGAGGAGACUGGAAUUUACGGUGUAGCGGUGAAAUGCGUAGAUAUCGUAAGGAAGACCAGUGGCGAAGGCGGGUCUCUGGACAGUUCCUGACGCUGAGGCACGAAGGUCAGGGGAGCAAACGGG